rnacentral:rRNA from 1 species
GACGAAUGCUGGCUGCGUGCUUAACACAUGCAAGUCGAACGGUGAAAGGGAGCUUGCUCCCUGGAUCAGUGGCGAACGGGUGAGUAACGCGUGGGCAACCUGCCCCUCACUCUGGGAUAACUCCGGGAAACCGGGGCUAAUACCGGAUACGACCUGGUGCGACAUCGCACCGGGUGGAAAGAACUUCGGUGAGGGAUGGGCCCGCGGCCUAUCAGCUUGUUGGUGGGGUAACGGCCCACCAAGGCGACGACGGGUAGCCCGCCUGAGAGGGCGACCGGCCACACUGGGACUGGGACACGGCCCAGAGUCCUACGGGAGGCAGCAGUGGGGAAUAUUGCGCAAUGGGCGAAAGCCUGACGCAGCGACGCAGCGUGAGGGACGAAGGCCUUCGGGUUGUAAACCUCUUUCAGCGGGGACGAAGCGAAAGUGACGGUACCCGCAGAAGAAGCACCGGCUAACUACGUGCCAGCCGCCGCCGUAACAC